UGGGGAAUAUUGCACAAUGGGGCGCAAGCCUGAUGCAGCCAUGCCGCGUGUGUGAAGAAGGCCUUCGGGUUGUAAAGCACUUUCAGUAGGGAGGAAAGUGAUAGGUCGUUAAUAGCAGAUUGCUGUGACGUUACCGACAGAAGAAGCACCGGCUAACUCCGUGCC
rnacentral:rRNA from 1 species